GGAUUAGAUACCCUGGUAGUCCACGCUGUAAACGAUGAGAACUGGGUGUCGCGGGUAUUGACCCCCGCGGUGCCGAAGCCAACGCGUUAAGUUCUCCGCCUGGGAAGUACGGCCGCAAGGCUAAAACUCAAAGGAAUUGACGGGGGCCCGCACAAGCGGUGGAGCAUGUGGUUUAAUUCGACGCAACGCGAAGAACCUUACCCGGACUCGAAAGUGCUGGAACCCGGCCGAAAGGCCGGGGUGCUCGCAAGAGAGCCAGUAUCCAGGUGCUGCAUGGCUGUCGUCAGCUCGUGCCG
rnacentral:rRNA from 1 species